rnacentral:rRNA from 1 species
GUCGAACGCUUUGUGGUUCAACUGAUUUGAAGAGCUUGCUCAGAUAUGACGAUGGACAUUGCAAAGAGUGGCGAACGGGUGAGUAACACGUGGGAAACCUACCUCUUAGCAGGGGAUAACAUUUGGAAACAGAUGCUAAUACCGUAUAACAAUGACAACCGCAUGGUUGUUAUUUAAAAGAUGGUUCUGCUAUCACUAAGAGAUGGUCCCGCGGUGCAUUAGCUAGUUGGUAAGGUAAUGGCUUACCAAGGCGAUGAUGCAUAGCCGAGUUGAGAGACUGAUCGGCCACAAUGGGACUGAGACACGGCCCAUACUCCUACGGGAGGCAGCAGUAGGGAAUCUUCCACAAUGGGCGAAAGCCUGAUGGAGCAACGCCGCGUGUGUGAUGAAGGGUUUCGGCUCGUAAAACACUGUUGUAAGAGAAGAAUGACAUUGAGAGUAACUGUUCAAUGUGUGACGGUAUCUUACCAGAAAGGAACGGCUAAAUACGUGCCAGCAGCCGCGGUAAUACGUAUGUUCCAAGCGUUAUCCGGAUUUAUUGGGCGUAAAGCGAGCGCAGACGGUUAUUUAAGUCUGAAGUGAAAGCCCUCAGCUCAACUGAGGAAUUGCUUUGGAAACUGGAUGACUUGAGUGCAGUAGAGGAAAGUGGAACUCCAUGUGUAGCGGUGAAAUGCGUAGAUAUAUGGAAGAACACCAGUGGCGAAGGCGGCUUUCUGGACUGUAACUGACGUUGAGGCUCGAAAGUGUGGGUAGCAAACAGGAUUAGAUACCCUGGUAGUCCACACCGUAAACGAUGAGUGCUAGGUGUUUGAGGGUUUCCGCCCUUAAGUGCCGCAGCUAACGCAUUAAGCACUCCGCCUGGGGAGUACGACCGCAAGGUUGAAACUCAAAGGAAUUGACGGGGACCCGCACAAGCGGUGGAGCAUGUGGUUUAAUUCGAAGCAACGCGAAGAACCUUACCAGGUCUUGACAUCCCUUGACAACUCCAGAGAUGGAGCGUUCCCUUCGGGGACAAGGUGACAGGUGGUGCAUGGUUGUCGUCAGCUCGUGUCGUGAGAUGUUGGGUUAAGUCCCGCAACGAGCGCAACCCUUAUUACUAGUUGCCAGCAUUCAGUUGGGCACUCUAGUGAGACUGCCGGUGACAAACCGGAGGAAGGUGGGGAUGACGUCAAAUCAUCAUGCCCCUUAUGACCUGGGCUACACACGUGCUACAAUGGCGUAUACAACGAGUUGCCAACCCGCGAGGGUGAGCUAAUCUCUUAAAGUACGUCUCAGUUCGGAUUGUAGGCUGCAACUCGCCUACAUGAAGUCGGAAUCGCUAGUAAUCGCGGAUCAGCACGCCGCGGUGAAUACGUUCCCGGGUCUUGUACACACCGCCCGUCACACCAUGAGAGUUUGUAACACCCAAAGCCGGUGGGGUAACCUUCGGGAGCCA